GAUGAACGCUGGCGGCGUGCUUAACACAUGCAAGUCGAACGAUGAAGCCCAGCUUGCUGGGUGGAUUAGUGGCGAACGGGUGAGUAACACGUGAGUAACCUGCCCUUAACUCUGGGAUAAGCCUGGGAAACUGGGUCUAAUACCGGAUAGGAGCGCCUACCGCAUGGUGGGUGUUGGAAAGAUUUAUCGGUUUUGGAUGGACUCGCGGCCUAUCAGCUUGUUGGUGAGGUAAUGGCUCACCGAGGCGACGACGGGUAGCCGGCCUGAGAGGGUGACCGGCCACACUGGGACUGAGACACGGCCCAGACUCCUACGGGAGGCAGCAGUGGGGAAUAUUGCACAAUGGGCGAAAGCCUGAUGCAGCGACGCCGCGUGAGGGAUGACGGCCUUCGGGUUGUAAACCUCUUUCAGUAGGGAAGAAGCGAAAGUGACGGUACCUGCAGAAGAAGCACCGGCUAACUACGUG
rnacentral:rRNA from 1 species